CAGUAGCCGCGGGAACACGUAGGUGGCAAGCGUUGUCCGGAAUUAUUGGGCGUAAAGGGCUCGCAAGCGGUUUCUUAAGUCUGAUGUGAAAGCCCCCGGCUCAACCGGGGAGGGUCAUUGGAAACUGGGAAACUUGAGUGCAGAAGAGGAGAGUGGAAUUCCACGUGUAGCGGUGAAAUGCGUAGAGAUGUGGAGGAACACCAGUGGCGAAGGCGACUCUCUGGUCUGUAACUGACGCUGAGGAGCGAAAGCGUGGGGAGCGAACAGGAUUAGAUACCCGUGUAGUCCCUGUCUCUUAUAC
rnacentral:rRNA from 1 species